rnacentral:SRP_RNA from 1 species
GCCAGGCAUGAUGGUGCACACUUGUAGUCUGUGCUACUUGGGAGACUGAGGCGGAGGAUCACUUGAGCCCAGGAGUUCUGGGCUGUAGUGCGCUGUGCCAUUCAGUGUCCACGCUAAGUUCAGCAUCAAUACAGUGACCUACCAGGAGCGUGGGACCACCAGGUUGCCAGAAGAGGGGUGGACCAGCCUGGGUCAGAAACGGAGCAGGUCCCAACUCCUGUGCUGACCAGCAGUGGGACACAGCCUGUGAACAGCCACUUACUCCAGCCUGGGCAACACAGUGAAACCCUGACUCA